rnacentral:SRP_RNA from 1 species
UGAGGCCGUAUUUUUGCGAAGUCUGCCCAAAGCACGUAGUGUUUGAAGAUUUCGGUCCUAUGCAAUAUGAACCCAUGAACCAUGUCAGGUCCUGACGGAAGCAGCAUUAAGUGGAUCAUCAUAUGUGCCGUAGGGUAGCCGAGAUUUAGCUAACGACUUUGGUUACGUUCGUGAAUUACGUUCGAUGCUUAGGUGCACGG